rnacentral:rRNA from 1 species
UAGGGAAUUUUCGUCAAUGGGCGCAAGCCUGAACGAGCAAUGCCGCGUGAACGAGGAAGGUCUUCGGAUCGUAAAGUUCUGUUGAAGGGGAAAAAAGAGCGGAGAGAGGAAAUGGUCUCCGAUUGAUAUUACCCUUCGAGGAAGUCACGGCUAACUACGUGCC